UUCUUUUUGACCGAAGCAUAAAAAAGGAAGAAGAAAGAAACAAGUUUAGGGUUCGGCCAUUAGUAAAGCUCAAUCAAGGUAUGUAAUUAGCUCGAUUUUAGAUAAUUUUUACGUUUUUGAGAUUGUUGCUAUGUUAUCUACAAAGCCCAUGCUUGAAUUUUUGAUUUUCAUGAAUAUUUUGAGUUAUGCCAUUGAUGAAUAUUUGAGCUUUAUGAUGAUAAUUGAUGAAAUAUGAAAGAUAUGUUUUAGAUUAACAUGUUUUGUAUUAGAAUUUUGAUGAUUUUAAGUAAUUAGGGAUAAAUUGUAAAAAUAAUAAAUUGAGGGACUAAAAUGUGAAAUAAAUGAAAUGUGUGGACUUGUAUGAACACUAGGAGUAUUCGGCCUAAGCAUGGUGUGUGCAAAUUUUACAUAUUUUGUGUUUUGUGAAAUUUAGACUAAAUUGUAAAAGUAUAAAUAUUAGGGGUAAAAUGGUAAUUUGCUCAUUUAUGUGUUUUUGGGUGAAUUUGAUUGAAUAUUUGAUUAAAUAAGUUUAAUUUAUAUUAAUUUAGAUCAAGAAAAGGGAAAAUCAGAUUUGGAUCGGGGGGAAAACUAAAGUUGUCGAUUAGCCGUUCCGUUUCGAUUUUUCAUCGUCCGAGUUAAGUUUAUAAGAAAAUAGACGUACUUAGUUUUAAUUAAAUGCUAAAUAUAUAUGCUGAAAUGAAAUAUGUAAAUUUAUAUAUGCUAUAGCUGAAUAUGAAUAAGCUUGGCUACUAUAUUUCUAAAUUUGUUUCGACGGAGUUACGAAGUCCGAAAGCCCCGUAUGAACCUUAGGAAUAGUUAGGAUACAUAUGUCAGGACAUAGGAUUCCGAUAUAUGUGUGUGAGUAAGACCAUGACAUCGAUAUGUGAUUCCGAUAUGUGUUUACGAGUAAGACCUUGUCUGGGACAGUGACAUCGAUAUGUGACUACAUGUAAGACCACGUCUGGGAAGUUGGCAUUGUACGAUUUGUGUGAUUAUAAGAGUCUCCUAUCCAAUUCCGAAUGGUUCAUUGGGCAAAGAUAAAUUGAGUUCGAAUGUGUAAAAUGAGCUAUAUGCCAGGUAUGAUUUAACUCGUUACCUAUUUAAGGUAAAGCAAGUAGUUCCUUAAUUAAUUGUUGCAAAUCUUGAAAGGGUGCAAAUGAAGACUAUAUGCGAAUGUGAUAUGUGUAUUUGACUUUGUGAGUUAGUAACUUGUUUAUCUUGAAUAAUCUUUAAACAUGUGCAUAUAUGAUUAGGUAAUUUCGAUUAUAUAUUUAAUAUAUGAAUAUGAUGAAAUAUUUUGAUACAGAGGCUUACGUAAUCAAGUGUAAUUGGCCUUGAAAUUAUUAUUGAAAUGAAACUUAGUAUUAGGCAUGCAUGAUUAUAUAUAUUCGGCUUCAUGGUUAAUAUAUGCAUAUGAAACUAUGCGAUUACAUAUGAGUUUAUAUGUUAAUGGGUAUGUGAAGUAAGUUACAGUGACUAGUUGGUUGUGGAGUAUAAAUGAUAAUAAUGAUAAUUUGGCUUCAUGAGUAUUCUGCAGAGAGAUAAUUGAGUAUGAAAAUAUAUAUUUAUAAUGAAUUUCAUAUAUGUGAAUAUGAUAUAUAUAUAUUAUGAUACUAUAAUUUAGUUUAGUUUAAAUAAGUUGAUAAUAGUUUUGGGAUGUUUAAUUGCUUAUGACUUACUAAGCUUCAAAAGCUUACUUUGUGUUUUUUUGUGUGUUUCUAUUUUAUAAACUUUGGAUUCAAGUUACAAGCUCGGGGAUCGUCAGCAAAGUCUAUCACACUAUCUACAGCUUCGGUAUUUAAAUAAUUGAACUCAAAUUAUGGCGUGUAUAGGCUGGAUCAUGUUUUGAAAUGUUGGAUUUUGGUUUUGUAUAAAUUAAGCCAUGUGAAAAUGGCUUAACUUCCAUGCUUUAAUUCGGUUAUGUUUGAUUAUGGUUUAAGUUUAUUUUGGUUAUAUUGCUACGUGUCAUGGAUGAAAGGCAUUUGUGAUAUGUGUUUUAUGCAUUGAAGUUGUUUGAUGAUUUUGGAUGUGGUAGAGUGAAUCGGCUAUGAUAUAUAUAUGUAAUAGUAUGAAUUAUGUUUGUUAUAAAA
rnacentral:lncRNA from 1 species